CCUACGGGAGGCAGCAGUAAGGAAUAUUGGACAAUGGGCGCAAGCCUGAUCCAGCCAUGCCGCGUGCAGGAUGAAGGUGCUCUGCAUUGUAAACUGCUUUUGUUUGGGAAUAAACCCUUCUACGUGUAGAGGGCUGAAUGUACCAAAAGAAUAAGGGACGGCUAACUUCGUGCCAGCAGCCGCGGUAAUACGAAGGUCCCAAGCGUUAUCCGGAUUUAUUGGGUUUAAAGGGUGCGUAGGCGGGUUAUUAAGUCAGUGGUGAAAGCCUACAGCUUAACUGUAGAAUUGCCAUUGAUACUGAUGAUCUUGAGUAUGAUUGAGGUGGGCGGAAUGUGUCAUGUAGCGGUGAAAUGCUUAGAUAUGACACAGAACACCGAUUGCGAAGGCAGCUCACUAAGUCAUAACUGACGCUGAUGCACGAAAGCGUGGGGAGCAAACAGGAUUAGAUACCCUGGUAGUCCACGCCCUAAAACGAUANAUCACUACAUGUGUGCGAUACACUGUACGCGUCUGAGAGAAAGACGAUUAAGUAGAGUCCACCCGUACGGGAGGUACGGACCCGACCGAAGGUUAGGUAAACGUUAACAAAUUAAGAAGUUAGGACGGGCGNGAGGACGCGCCGACGGACGACGACGAACGGGAAGGGUUAGGGAAG
rnacentral:rRNA from 1 species